GACGGCCCGGGUCUGGCCCCGGGGCGGUGAGUGCUGCCGGGGGAGAGAAUAAACCGGUACAGACACCGCGCUUCGGCCGUCGGGUCGGGUCUCGGGCCUGAUGUCCCCAGCGCGUUGGCUGUAGAACCAGCGAGAGACCUCCUGGGACCUCCUGUUCGUCCUGGCGUUCAUGAGCGGGUAGCUUGGGGGUGUCGGAGGGGUACUGAAAAUGCUGACGUUUUUGCUAUAAUUUCCUCAGAUUCCACUAAGCGUUUGCGUCUAGGACCACGGGAUGGAGAUAGGGCUGUGCUGAGAGAGCGUGUUCGUGACACGAAGGUGGGAUGUAUCCUCAGCAGAGAGGACAACUGUGAUGUGCAGAAAGCAUGAGAUCACGUUGAGGCCGAGAGUAACCGGAAUGGGAUGAAAUUCAGUUCUACAGGGUUUGCGGUCAUAUACUUGGGAACCAAUAAGGUCAUCAUUUAUUCAGUGGGAGCUCAUCAUUUGGAAAUGGUAGUGGAGGAGACCUUGGGUAUCAUCAUUGGUUCCACAGAGGCAGUCUGUAAUCUGUACGACGCGUCCAAGAAACAAAAAGAUGUGAUUUUAAGAGGGGAGUUUAAAAUUCAAAGUAUUUUAGGGACAUACAGGUACAUUCACAGCUCAUCUUCGUUAUUGUUUCUGGCCACCCAUGUUCAAGAAGCCAAACUAAAAGAGGGGCAGAGAGAGCGGAUACAGCACAGAAUGGAGACUGUAACAAGGGAUGAGAGGAGCAUUGUUCCCUGAGUCUAGCAAAACAAAUAUGAAAGGACUUAAAACUGCUGUGUCCAGAGGACAGGCAUUUUGCAAUCUGAGAAGGCAAAAAGCUAUGUAAGAUGGAGAACUAUGCAGGCACUAUAGCAGACGGGUAUACACUGAACAUUAACACGUCUGAGCCAGAAACAAAGGAGCAAAGAUACUGCCGUUAGAGGAGUGAGACUGUGGGACAGCCCUGCCAUGGAAGCCACAUGGAUAAAAUCUGUUUGGGUUUGGUUUUUUUUUAAGAGGGAGCUCAGGAGGCUUCUGAAAGGGGUUAUAUGAUGUCUCUGCCUAGGUUACCAGAGGGAUGUAUCUGGGGGAGUGGGUCAUUCUCCAUUUGUGUUUCUGCUGAACCCCAAAACUCUCCUUUGCCAGCUACUAGUAUGAUGCAUAGUAAGUCUUUCUAGUUUGAGAGAUGCACAACUCUCUGCAGACCCCAAUUACUCAAAACAGUUCUUCCAGAAAAUGUCACUUUGCAAUAUAACCUCUCAUAUUUCUUUCAUUCUUCUGUUCUCUGUUUACUCGCAAGAGCGAUGACCUCUCUUUCUUCACACCUGGCUCAGGCAGUCUCCUGGGAAAGAAGCAGCUGUGUGGAUGAGGCAGCUAGUGAACAAUCUCAUCUGCCAUGAAAUGCUGACAAGCCCAAAGACCAAGCAGCAUUGUUCCAGGAGAUACAGGCUGCCCCAGUCAUGAUUCCUUCCUCUUCCUCAUCACACCUACUCGUCAUCUUAUAAUCAUGAAGAGGACAAAUGAUCCUGAUCUAUUUCUACAAAGGCAGAUCCUGUUCUGGCAUCUGAACAGCUGAGUAGGAGCCAUCUUGCAUUAUCUGCCUAGUCAAUGUGGGAAGGCAUCUCCGGGAAGUUACAUGACAUGGGAUAUACAGGUAAGUGACACAUUUUUGGUAUUGUGAUGUUUUUCUGUUCACUGAAAAGCUACUUGGUAUUAAGGAGACAUUUUCAAAAGUUGUAUUGUACUGUAUGAGUGUAUUAAACUUUGUUCUAUGUGUACUUUUCAUAGAUAAAAGAAUACUGAAAGCUAAAUCAACAUUUAAAAGGAGAGAGAGAAAGAAAUGAGAGAAUACUGAAGUAAUGGAAGGAAUAAAACAGAAUGAGGCAAAUGGAAAAAGGCAAGAAAAUGCUAGAGGAGACAGAAAAUUUGGGAAAAAAGGAAGGAGAUGAAGAAAAUCUGUCUUGACAGACAGAGGGGACAGAAAUAGCCCCUUUCAUCAGGCAGCGACAGCAAGCGCUGCAUACAUUCAAAUCUGAUUCCCAUGGCAGGAGCCACCAAAAGCAGGAAGAGAGGCCUGAAUCAGUGAAACCUGAACCUCAGCAAACCAAGGGAGCCUGUAGACAAUGGGACUGAGUGAGGGCAAGCGAACAAUCAGAACCAAAAGGAAGAGAAAACAGUCUUUUAGGCAGCCAGAAAAAUUACAUCAGCAGUCAACAAUGAAGCAAAGGGCAAACCCUCCUGCUUCAAGUCCCACUCCCAUGCCUGCUUUUAACAGAUCCCUUCCUCAAUAUAACGCAGUGUUUCAGUAUAAGAUGGUGGGCUGAUGCUACCACGCGUAUACAGGCAAACCUCUGCCUAAAUCGUCAGUGCUGCAGAACUGGCUGGUCCUAAGAUCCUGGAAAUGUCUAUGACAUGAUCAGGCAAGUGAUGGGCUGAAAGUAACACCUGAAACACAGUCACCCACAACUUUCAUUUUGGGGAAAAUAAACAAAAGCAAAACUAGCAGGUGGUAUAGCAGCUGAGCACAUUUAAUCUUAUAAAAUAUUGAUGUACUUCAUGAUAAUGGAAAGAAUAGCCAUCUGCCACCUAUUGUUCAUAGUCCUAUAAACACUUCAUAUCAAAUCAGACAUUUUGAGUGAUAUCCUUUGUAAUGAUUAGCGUAGGUUUUAAAAGUGACAAGCCUCAGAGGUUGAACAGGCAAUUGUUUGAAUUUAAGACUAAUAGAGAGGCUUGUAUUUGUUCAGAUACCUGCAGGAUCUUCUGAGUCACUCACUCUUGGCAUACAUGCUUGUGCAUAAAUAGUUCGUAUUUUGAGUGACACAGAAAAAAAAACAUUAGCUCAUGUGCCUUAAAAACGAUCUGCAAGCAGAAGUGGAAAUGCCAUAUGCCACAGAAAAUACAUUGAAACCCUACACACCACAGAAGCUAAGCCAAACCUAUAGCAUAAACACAAUUUGAAAAGGAACAGUCCAAAACCAGUUUUAAAAAUUAUUUUAGGACCCACAAACUUCUACUAACUGCUGUCUUUUCAGUUCACAGAAUGUAAAGUCAAAAUCAAGCUCUUCAGGGCCACAGCACUGUCCUUAUGUCAAUUUAUAUGUUUAGCCCAAUGGGCUGCCUUAGGGAUAGGCCACCACAGCAAAGUGCUCCAAAACUUUCAUGGACUUCCAGUCUACAAUUGCCUAUUCAAAGCCUGUGGUUUGAUUUUCAAAGCCAUCGUUAUUCUGAAACCUCGCGCUCUCAGGGAUUACAGCUCUAUCAGUGACUUGUUGAGGCAGUUGACGGCAAAAGACAUAUGUACCAGUAAGCACACAGCCCUGCAGAGCUGAGUGUACUCUGAAGACUUGGGAAGCCCAGGAAGGAAGAAAGAAGCUCAAGAAGGAAUCUUGAGGGGCCAUCAACUUCAUUCCCUUGUCACAUUGCAAGACUCAAAUCUCACAGGGUUGAUUCAGCUAGGAAGCCCAUCGAUAGAGUAAGGGCAGACUGUAAACAGAACUUGAAGAGAGACAAAUUUAUUUCCAUGAGAUGUUGCAGUUAGCUCAUAUAAUUCUGCACACAUGCUUUGUGUUCUGCUUAAUUUUUUAAAAUGCUGUUUUAUUGAAGAGAAUGGGUUUCAUAAGCUUCAUAGCUUAAAAAAAAAAAAGGGCAAAGCACAUUGAGAAAUAAAUGCUGAUGAAAAUCUCAUAAUUUUUGCAAUAUGAAUUCUUGUAUUCCUUUGAAGUCCAGUAGGAAGGAUUGCAACGUUACGGGGAAUAGGAUACUUUAAAAGGGAAUGUUAAUACCCUCUUCUUUUGACUCUGGCUUUGUAAUAUUGCUGCCAAGUAAUGUCAGUGGCCAUGCCGAGUGCUCAGCAUCUUGAUGUGGUAUAUCUUAAGUGCAGGCUUGAUGAGAUGAAGUGUUAGUUUGCAAGGUCUUCACUUCUAUGGCUUCAGUCACAGCUAUAGGUGGCUGCAACAUCUGAACUUAAACACAGACCAUGUCAUCUUUUGAGGUAACCACUGAACGUUCCCUAACACUAACGGGUUUUACCAGUUCAGAAUGUAAUUUCAUGAAAAGUUCUAGACUGUAUCAUAAACGUGAUGCCCAACAGAAAUCCAAAUGUGCCUUACAUCUCUCCAGUCCAAGUUCACACUCAGCGAGCGAACUGCAGCUUUGCUGUUUAGAGAGCAGAUGGACUUGACACAGGCAAGCUUUCUACCACAUAACCCACACUGCUCAUCCUACCUACAUGAGAUGGAGAAUAAAUCAGCAUGCUGGGAAUCGCAUGAAGCCAAGCAGUAUGGGGUCAGCUAGCAGGCUACAUACAGGACUAGUUUUGAGAGCAGUGUAGUUGUAACAGUGGUCAAAGACUGUGGAGAACCAUGCCUACUUCCCUGGGCACGCUCCUGCAAAGACAGCAAAGACACAGGCAAGGUCUCCUCUAUGUUCUUGCAAUGCCACAUAGAUCUUUAGGCAUUAUAAAUAACAAUGAUUGCAUAUACUUUCUCAGACUAAGAACUGUAAUAAGAAACGAAGUGUUGAUAGAAAUGAUAUUGCAGGAUUUGUAUGUGGGAGUAGCAAUAAAACAAGUAUGAUAUCACUGUCAGCCACUUGGAAAGCUGUGAUUUUAGAACUGUUCCACAUCCUAGUUAUAGUAGUACAACAGGAAACAAUGAGCAUAUGGGGAAACAAAAAUGAUGAUAUAUAGUUUGAGAAUGUAUGAAAU